rnacentral:rRNA from 1 species
GACGAACGCUGGCGGCGUGCCUAAUACAUGCAAGUUGAGCGCUGAAGGUUGGUACUUGUACCAACUGGAUGAGCAGCGAACGGGUGAGUAACGCGUGGGGAAUCUGCCUUUGAGCGGGGGACAACAUUUGGAAACGAAUGCUAAUACCGCAUAAAAACUUUAAACACAAGUUUUAAGUUUGAAAGAUGCAAUUGCAUCACUCAAAGAUGAUCCCGCGUUGUAUUAGCUAGUUGGUGAGGUAAAGGCUCACCAAGGCGAUGAUACAUAGCCGACCUGAGAGGGUGAUCGGCCACAUUGGGACUGAGACACGGCCCAAACUCCUACGGGAGGCAGCAGUAGGGAAUCUUCGGCAAUGGACGAAAGUCUGACCGAGCAACGCCGCGGGUGUGAAGAAGGUUUUCGGAUCGUAAAACUCUGUUGGUAGAGAAGAACGUUGGUGAGAGUGGAAAGCUCAUCAAGUGACGGUAACUACCCAGAAAGGGACGGCUAACUACGUG